rnacentral:lncRNA from 1 species
CAUCAUCCUCGCCCGGGGAAAGGCGGCGGACAAUCGGGCGGAGUGCUCGGAGUCGGUCGGCGUCGGCAGGUUUUUCGUUCAGGCAAGUAAGUUAGACAGACGCGCUGAGAGCAGCGGGGGCCUUAAUUUGCCUCAACAAAGAUGGCCGCUGUGCCGGAAGUGGCUUCAGCCACAACAAAGAUGGCGGCGAGGAAGGGCGGAAGUGACGUCACGCCACGCACAAGAUGGCUGCCCGAUCGAGGCUGCCUUGACCUCCCAAGGAUGGCGGCCAAAAAGGCGGGAAAAUGGAAGGACCCCGGGCGGUGGGUGCGUGCGAUUGACUGCCUGACAAACACCCCGGCGCCGACGCCGCUCCGGCGCAAUUUUCCGCGGCUUUUCCGGCCGUGCGGACACGGGCUGUGCGCUCGGCGGCGCCGGGGCCGGGCGCCAGCAGGUCGGGCGCCGACAGGCAGCGGUGAAGACGCCUCUCUCUGCCGGGGUCCUUGCCGCGGCCGCGUUCUGGGGCUUCUGGCACUCGCGACGACCCGUACCUCGCCGCCGCUGCUCUCGCUCCGUUCUCUCCCCCUCGGCCCCCCCCCGGGAAAUGGCGGAAACCCCAAUGGCAUCGGGACCGAACGGUCGCUCCCCGGCCCUGGGACCGAAGCAGCCCGAGGAGGCGGCUGCUCUGUGUGUCGGAACGGUGAGAGCGGGGGCCGGGGCUGGGGCAGGUUAUCAACCGAGUAUAUACCUGCAAUCCUCCCCUUGCAGCUGCUGACAGCACUGAAAACCUGUGUGCUUCGUGGUGUCUAUUGCCCAGCUGGCAACGAUUCCCUUGUGUUUGGUGCAUUAAGUCACACACUGGUUUGUGUCCACAAAGGAAAGGCAUGCAGAAGGCAGCACCAUCACCCCAGCCCUGCAGUCAGGAGUCCAUCAGCUUUCCCCACAGUGAACGUGGUUAAGGUCUCCUUAACCAAAGGAAAACUCAGCACCACUACAGAUGUACAGAACAGCAAUUUAUCCACUGGGGCCCUCCGACACACUUUGCCCAUUAUGUGUCCAGAAGACUCCAAGUACUGGCUUUACAUGUCCACAAGCAUGGCCAAAGCCACACAUACAGAGCAACACCAAGUUUUCAAGGUGUACCAAGAGAAACAAAGAUUUAAUAACAUUAUUUCUUAGACAACUGUUGGGGAUNNNNNNNNNNNNNNNNNNNNGCUCCGCAGAUGUUUUUUUCUUUCCUCUUUCCCUUCUUGUGUGAGCUGCCUUUGAGUCAGUUAUGUUAUGUUGAGCUCUUGUGGGCACAGAGCGGUACUGUCGCUGUGCCCCGACCAGGGCCCUGCCCCGCUCCGCUGGGUGACGGGGGGGAGGCGGCAGCGGGAGCUACGGCAGUUCCGCGGCUGCCGAGCCUGGGGAGGGAGUGAGCGGGGCGGUGUCUGUAAAUAGCAGGGAGGGGUGAAAUAGCGUUAAGUGUGUAAAGUGACACGGCCGGGAGCAGGGACACUGCGCUAAAAGGAGCGGGGGCCGUGCAGGCCGGCGGCUAAGAAUAACAGCAGUGACGGGUGGCAGAUCAGUUUCAGCUUCACAGACGGACUGCGGGGGAAGGACGGUGAGCAGCGGACCCGCAGCAGGCGAGGGGCGGGCACUUAGGUAUUUUGCUAAGGUGUUUACCUCGGCCAGCACCUAAUCGGGCAGUCCAAGUCCCCGCAGAAGAGGAACCGCUGCGAGGGAAGAGGCGCUCAGAGCCCGCAGCGAGCUGUGCACGCCUUCCCCACCGCCGCUCCCUGCUCCGCGCUGCCAUCGCAGCUUUGCGAGCUGGCACCACACCCGGGCGAGCUGGCGGCUACGCCCCUCCCCGACCCCUGCCCCGAGUGCCGCUGGGGCGCUCCGAUAGAGGCUCUGCGGGGGCCUUUUAGGCGGGACCAGGGCAAUAGAGAGGGCCGGAGAAGGGGACGGGAGUCUGGCGAGAGGGGCCCAGGGCGACCGCGGACCCUGCGAGCACCCCUGGCUCCGCCCAACUGAGCACCUCGCGCUCCCAUGGGCCGCAGCCUCAAAGCUUCCGCUAAUCCCGGUGGAUUGGUUCUAGGUUAUGGUUCUAGGUCAGGGUUCUAGGUUAUGGUUCUAGGUCAGGGUUCUAGGUCAGGGUUCUAGGUCAGAGUUCUAGGUUAUGGUUCUAGGUCAG